CAUAGGAAGUCAGGACUGGAACUCAAGCAGGUCAGAAAGCAGGAGCUGAUGCAGAAGCCAUGGAGGAAUGUUCUUUACUGGCUUGCUUCUCCUGGCUUGCUCAGCCUGCUCUCUUAUAGAACCCAAGACUACCAGCCCAGAGAUGGUCCCACCCACAAGGGACCUUUCCCCCUUGAUCACUAAUUGAGGAAAUGCCUUACAGUUGGAUCUCCUGGAGGCAUUUCCUCAACUGAAGCUCCUUUCUCUGUGAUAUCUCCAGCUGUGACACAAAACUAGCCACUACAGGAGGGAAACAAGGAAAGAGUCUAAUGAAGGUGCAGUAACUCCAGAUUAGCCCUGACUGUGGUUACUGGGGAGAUUUUCUGACUAUCCCAGCAACCAAUAUCACAAACACGUGGCAGUGAGGUGCAGCAGUGGGCAAACACCUGGAUUCAAGGAACGGUCAGAACAUUGGCAGACACACGGGUUCAAGGAGCGGCCAGAGCAUUGUGCACCUCUAUUUUUCUAAAUCAGUGAAGCUACUUCUACUAACAAAUCUAUUUUUCCAAUUUCAGGGCUUCUGUGACCUUUUCCAUUCUGUCAGGAUCUUUCAUUAGCAUGCUGCUGCAUCUUUGCCCCUGAUCCAGCAGUACAAUUCCAAAGGAGAAGCCAACAAAGCUGUCUGGAAAGUAGAUAGGUCUGCAGACUUUGAGGCAUUCUGAGUCCAGCUGACCUUAGGUUCUCUGCCCCUGUCCCAUCCUUGCCACUGUAGUCUGGGAUUACCCAGCCAACCUUUAAUCUUGGGCCUCUGAUGUGGACAGAGAUAAGGAAACUCAGUCCUGAAGAUCACUUGCCAGCAGCUGCCUAACAAUAUGGGUUUCAGCAUCUAGAAGACAGCCUGAGGAGGGGAGCCACGUUCAGAUUCAGCAAGUUCAUCAGGAUCCUGGAAAACAAAUGCCAAGCUUGAUGAACCCUGUGAGCCUCAGGGCAGACCUUCUUCAGGAGUUGGGCCACCUGGGAACUGUUCUGAAAAUCCAGAGAUGCGAGGUUUUUUUCAGAGUUGUGAAUUCUUGAUCCUCUCACCUUGGCACCUGAACAUCCCCACAGCCUGAAAAGGGUGAACAAUAGGCUCAGCCCAACAAGAGCCUCCACAGCACCUACUACUGACUACCUGCUUCCCUAUAGGGUCCCUGCAGGUCCCAAGCCAGCACAGCACAGAGAACAAGAGUCUAAAGAGGUCUUUACACAAUUGUUUGACUUGUUCUCAGCAUCUAGUGUAUUAGGCAUGAGGAUUGUAUGUGGAAAACUGUCUGCUGCUUGGAAUCAGAUCCCUGAUAGACUGAUUGCUUAGGAAGCAGCCCCCCAAAAGUGCCUGGAAUAUACUGGAUAUCAGUAAAUGCCUGUUGGAUGAUAAGUGUUCAUGAUUGUAUAUAAUCAUCGGUUAUACCGAAGGUCCCUAAACAGCUCUUUCUUUUAUGCUCACAUACACUCUGCCAACCCCUGCAAUGCAUUAAUUUAGACAUAAAGUGGCACUGAGGAAGAUAUCACUGCAUACAUUCCUUCAUGGCCAAUGGCUCCUGCCCCUGAAUCAGUUGGCUUUUGUUUGUGCAGAUGCCUUUUCCUGGUGGUAGAAAUGCUUUUCCCCCACUAGGCAGGGGCAUGGCUUGAUGAAGUGCAACUGGAUCAUCUGUUUUCAAGUAGUGUGUCUGGAUUGUGGAGUCUAUUUCUGAAGAUAGGUGGACACACAAAAUGACCAAAAAUGAACUCACCAAGUCAGCUUGGCCUGUGUGAUGAGUAUGGCAAAUGUUUCACUGGCUAUCAUGCCACCAGGGUCACUGCCAUCUGGAAACAGUGGAGAACAAAGGAUAUUUCAGAUCUGUAUAGGGGCACUGUUACAGAAGUUUUGUUUCAAGCUUUGUUUGGGCAGGUAGUUCUGAAUGGCCUAAGAGAACAGAUUGAUCAAGGCAUGGGAAACAAGCCCUGAGUUCUGAAGAUGAUGGACUACAACCUAUAGGAUGAAAUGAACCCUUUCCCCCCUAAGCUGAUUUUGGUCAAAAAUCCUAAUUGAUGUGUACCCACAUGUCAGCUCUUGACCUGUAGCCUAAGAAAUGGCAAAAAU
rnacentral:lncRNA from 1 species